CGAAUCAAGGGAAGCGUGCCGGUGCAGGCAAGAGACACCGUAAGCGUCGUUGCAACCAAUUAAGCGCCGAUUCCAAUCAGCGCGAUUACGCUCUCGCUGCCUAAGCGAAGCUAAUCCGUCAGACCGGGAGAGCCCUCGACCCGGACCCUGGCGUCAUCUAGAGGGACAAACCCACAAGUUCGGUCGCGGAACAUGUGGGGACAUCAAACAGCGACUGGGAUCGUCAUCCCGGCGGGUCCGCGAGACCGGGAGAUCCAAGUAGAGACAUAGUGGCUGCGCACGGAGAGCAUGAGGAUGCC
rnacentral:misc_RNA from 1 species